rnacentral:rRNA from 1 species
CCUACGGGGUGCAGCAGUGGGGGAUAUUGCACAAUGGGGGAAACCCUGAUGCAGCGACGCCGCGUGGGUGAAGAAGCGCCUCGGCGCGUAAAGCCCUGUCAGCAGGGAAGAAAAUGACGGUACCUGAAGAAGAAGCCCCGGCUAACUACGUGCCAGCAGCCGCGGUAAUACGUAGGGGGCAAGAGUGCUCCGGAUUUACUGGGUGUAAAGGGGGCGCAGACGGCGAUGCAAGCCAGGAGUGAAAGCCCGGGGCCCAACCCCGGGACUGCUCUUGGAACUGCGUGGCUAGAGUGCAGGAGGGGCAGGCGGAAUGCCUGGUGUAGCGGUGAAAUGCGUAGAUCUCAGGAGGAACACCGGUGGCGAAGGCGGCCUGCUGGACUGCAACUGACGUUGAGGCCCGAAAGCGUGGGGAGCAAACAGGAUUAGAUACCCCAGUAGUC